rnacentral:rRNA from 1 species
GUCGAGCGGACAGAUGGGAGCUUGCUCCCUGAUGUUAGCGGCGGACGGGUGAGUAACACGUGGGCAACCUGCCCGUUAGACUGGGAUAACUCCGGGAAACCGGAGCUAAUACCGGAUAAUCCCUUUCUCCACCUGGAGAGAGGGUGAAAGAUGGCUUCGGCUAUCACUUAGGGAUGGGCCCGCGGCGCAUUAGCUAGUUGGUGAGGUAACGGCUUACCAAGGCGACGAUGCGUAGCCGACCUGAGAGGGUGAUCGGCCACACUGGGACUGAGACACGGCCCAGACUCCUACGGGAGGCAGCAGUAGGGAAUCUUCCGCAAUGGACGAAAGUCUGACGGAGCAACGCCGCGUGAGUGAGGAAGGUUUUCGGAUCGUAAAGCUCUGUUGUGAGGGAAGAACCGGUGCCGUUCAAAUAGGGCGGUACCUUGACGGUACCUCACCAGAAAGCCACGGCUAACUACGUGCCAGCAGCCGCGGUAAUACGUAGGUGGCAAGCGUUGUCCGGAAUUAUUGGGCGUAAAGGGCGCGCAGGCGGCUUCUUAAGUCUGAUGUGAAAUCUCGCGGCUCAACCCCGAGCGGUCAUUGGAAACUGGGGGAGCUUGAGUGCAGAAGAGGAGAGUGGAAUUCCACGUGUAGCGGUGAAAUGCGUAGAGAUGUGGAGGAAACACCAGUGGCGAAGGCGACUCUCUGGUCUGUAACUGACGCUGAGGCGCGAAAGCGUGGGGGAGCGAACAGGAUUAGAUACCCUGGGUAGUCCACGCCGUAAACGAUGAGUGCUAAGUGUUAUGGGGUUUUCCAUGCCCCUAGUGCCGCAGCUAACACAUUAAGCACUCCGCCCUGGGGGAGUACGGUCGCAANGCUGAAACUCAA